rnacentral:rRNA from 1 species
GACGAACGCUGGCGGCGGGCUUAACACAUGCAAGUCGAACGGAAAGGCCCUGCGUGUUUGGUGUUCUCGAGGGCCAAACGGGGGAGUAACACGUGAGUAACGGGCCCUUCACUUUGGUAGAAGUUCAGGAAACGGGGGCUAAUACCGUAUAGGAUCUGCUGCUGCAGUGAGGGGGGUGGAAAGUUGCGGCGGUUGGGGAUGGACGCGCGGCUGAUCGACUUGCUGGUGGGGGAGGGGCUGACCAAGGGUGUGACGGGUAGCCGGCAUGAGAGGGUGACCGGGCACAAUGGGACUGCGGUACGCAGCAGUCUGCUACGGGAGGCAGCAGUGGCGAGUCUUGCCCAAUGGGCGGAAGUCUGUUGAAGAAACGCUGGGUGCGGGAUGACGGUCUUCGGGUUGUAAAACGCUUUCGCCUGUGACGCAGCGUGAGUGACGGUAAUGGGUAAAGAAGCACCGGCUAACUACGUG